UUAUGGCCACACCAUGUUGAAACACCCUUUCCCUUAAGAUCACCGAAGUUAAGCAACAUCGAAGGCGAUGAGUACCUAGAUGAGAGACUGCUGAGAAAUACUAGGUGCUGUAAG